rnacentral:rRNA from 1 species
UAUGGCGACCGGCGCACGGGUGAGUAACACGUAUCCAACCUGCUGAUGACUCGGGGAUAGCCUUUCGAAAGAAAGAUUAAUACCCGAUGGCAUAGUUCUUCCGCAUGGUAGAACUAUUAAAGAAUUUCGGUCAUCGAUGGGGAUGCGUUCCAUUAGGUUGUUGGCGGGGUAACGGCCCACCAAGCCUUCGAUGGAUAGGGGUUCUGAGAGGAAGGUCCCCCACAUUGGAACUGAGACACGGUCCAA